UACGUAGGGGGCUAGCGUUGUCCGGAUUUAUUGGGCGUAAAGAGCGUGUAGGCGGCCAGGUAGGUCUGCUGUGAAAACUCGAGGCUCAACCUCGAGACGUCGGCGGAAACCAUCUGGCUAGAGUCCGGAAGAGGAGAGUGGAAUUCCUGGUGUAGCGGUGAAAUGCGCAGAUAUCAGGAAGAACACCAGUGGCGAAGGCGGCUCACUGGACUGGUAUUGACGCUGAGGUGCGAAAGCGUGGGGAGCAAACAGG
rnacentral:rRNA from 1 species